rnacentral:misc_RNA from 1 species
AACUGAUACUACCUGCGGGAACCUGCGGAAGGAUCAUUAACGAGUUAGGGUCCUCUAGGGCCCGACCUCCCAACCCUUUGUUUAUUGAACCACUGUUGCUUCGGCGGGCCCGUCUCACGACCGCCGGAGGAGCGCUGAAAGGCGUAUCCUCUAGCCCGCGUCCGCCGAUAGCCAACUACAAAACUCUGUAUAAAUCGUGUCUUAUGUCUAAGUCAAUGAUUCAAUUAAAGCAAAACUUUC